AUUUUUGGGCACUAUUGAUAUGCUCAAUUCAUGUAUGAAGCCAAAAACACUAUCUAGUAAAACCUUCUCGUGUAUAUGGAAGGCCAAGAAGAAGUGGCUACCAUAUUUCUUCAUGAGAGCAAACACUUCCAGCUGAAUCCAGUUCUGGAAUGAGCUGUCAAGGGAAAUGAGGAUGAAUAGUUUGAGCUCAGUGUGGGACACAAAUCCUUCAACCCUCAACCUGCUUGCUAACUCUAAAGCUAGCAGUAACACAGAGCCGUCACGUUGCACUUGUGAAAUGGGGAACUGUUUCUACCUGUUUUUACCUUUCUGCAGCUACAACCUUCGGUGAAGACUGUUGAUAUUCCUGAAUGUCUCAAUGACGAAACACUGUUGUAGCC
ensembl:lncRNA